rnacentral:rRNA from 1 species
CCCUUAGAUGUUCUGGGCCACACGCGCGUUACACUGAUGAAGCCAGCGAGUAUAUCGCCUUCACCGGAAGGUGCGGGUAAUCUUGUGAAACUUCAUCGUGCUGGGGAUAGACCAUUGCAAUUAUUGGUCUUGAACGAGGAAUUCCUAGUAAGCAUGAGUCAUCAACUCGUGCUGAUUACGUCCCUGCCCUUUGUACACACCGCCCGUCGCUACUACCGAUUGAAUGGUUUAGUGAGAUCUCGGGAUUGGAGACGUUGCGCCGCAAGGCACAUCGUCCUCGAGAACUUGAUCAAACUUGAUCAUUUAGAGGGAGUAAAAGUCGUAACA